GACGAACGCUGGCGGCGCGCUUAACACAUGCAAGUCGAGCGAGAUCUGGUCCUUCGGGACCGGGGAAAGCGGCGAACGGGUGAGUAACACGUGGGUAAUCAACCCUCGGUACCGGGAUAGCCCGAGGAAACUCGGAUUAAUACCGGAUGGCCCAGCAGCUCUUCGGGGCGGCUGGGAAAGGUAGCUUCGGCCUCCGACCGAGGACGAGCCCGCGGCGGAUUAGCUUGUUGGCGGGGUAAUGGCCCACCAAGGCGACGAUCCGUAGCUGGU
rnacentral:rRNA from 1 species